AUUGAACGCUGGCGGCAUGCUUUACACAUGCAAGUCGAACGGUAACAGGGAGCUUGCUCCGCUGACGAGUGGCGAACGGGUGAGUAAUGCAUCGGAACGUACCCAGUCGUGGGGGAUAACGUAGCGAAAGUUACGCUAAUACCGCAUACGUCCUGAGGGAGAAAGCGGGGGACCGUAAGGCCUCGCGCGAUUGGAGCGGCCGAUGUCGGAUUAGCUAGUUGGUGGGGUAAAGGCCUACCAAGGCGACGAUCCGUAGCGGGUCUGAGAGGAUGAUCCGCCACACUGGGACUGAGACACGGCCCAGGCUCCUACGGGAGGCAGCAGUGGGGAAUUUUGGACAAUGGGGGCAACCCUGAUCCAGCCGAUUCCGCGUGAGUGAAGAAGGCC
rnacentral:rRNA from 1 species